UGAGCACUAUCUGUGACUUUUGCAGAAC
rnacentral:piRNA from 1 species